rnacentral:lncRNA from 1 species
AGAAGACGCGGCGCGGCGCAGCCCAAGCGAGGGGAUCGUGCCGAGGAAGAAGAAGCUGGGGGCGAGUUUUUUUUUUGCUCCAGAUCCAACCGCGCACGCCUCGCAUCGAACGGCUAGGGCUGGACCGGCCGAACGUUUCGGCCGGUGCGCCGGCGCCUAGCAUCGCCCUUGUUUAAAGCUUUAUCACUUUAUGAAGGAUUGUUUAAAAGCUUUAUCACUGUAAGAUGCAACGCUAGCUUUUUAGUUCCUCACUGAUACCUUCCAUUGAACCAGAGCAUUUGCAGCAGGUUGUAGCCAACAAGCUCGUUUUCUUCCCCUGUAUCUAUCUUCCGAUCUGAUCAACAUCUGACUUGAUUAUUCACUGGGUCACCUCUCUGUUUGUAGUUUAUAUUGACCAAGCAAAGGGCAUAUUAGAUGCCAUUCACGGAGCUUCAAAGUGAAGGUAGGGCCAGCGGUUGAUGGGGAGAGAGAGCGCACAAGCUGUAGGUGCCCCAGCCCCUCAACGGGGCCGCAAGGAUCAAGGAUCGAGCCGCUGCUGCACCCCUGUUGCCGGUGAAGGAGGUAGUACGAGCACAUGGCCGCACGCUGCUGCUGGAUCUUGCCUCCAUGGAUCAGAAGAG